rnacentral:rRNA from 1 species
AUUGAACGCUGGCGGCAUGCCUUACACAUGCAAGUCGAACGGCAGCACGGGAGCAAUCCUGCCGGCGAGUGGCGAACGGGUGAGUAAUACAUCGGAACGUGCCCUGUAGUGGGGGAUAACUAGUCGAAAGGUUAGCUAAUACCGCAUACGACCUGAGGGUGAAAGGGGGGGACCGCAAGGCCUCAUGCUAUAGGAGCGGCCGAUGUCUGAUUAGCUAGUUGGUGGGGUAAAGGCCUACCAAGGCGACGAUCAGUAGCUGGUCUGAGAGGACGAUCAGCCACACUGGGACUGAGACACGGCCCAGACUCCUACGGGAGGCAGCAGUGGGGAAUUUUGGACAAUGGGCGAAAGCCUGAUCCAGCAAUGCCGCGUGUGUGAAGAAGGCCUUCGGGUUGUAAAGCACUUUUGUCCGGAAAGAAAUGGCUCUGGUUAAUACCUGGGGUCGAUGACGGUACCGGAAGAAUAAGGACCGGCUAACUACGUGCCAGCCGCCGCCGUAA